GGUACAACAUACAUUUUAUUUCAAUAGAAUUAUUUAAAAAAAAAAUAUUGUAGAAAUUAUUACAGCAGGUGAAAAUGAUGACAUUAAGAUGUAAUAAAGAAAGAGGUGAUUUUGAAAGAAUAAUAUGUAGGUACAAAGAUUUUUUACAAUUACUUUCUUUUACAUUAUAUUUACUUAUGCUCAAAUAUACAGAAUGACUCUUGUAAGUUUUUAUGUUUUUGUAAAUAUAUUUUUAAAUAAUUUAAAUUUGUCACAAAACUAUAUUUUUACUUUUUUUUAUUUCUAUGAUUUUCCAAGUUAUACCUAUAGGUUACCUAGAACUAUAGGCUUGGACACUAUUGAACCAAUUAACAUAACAUUUUGAUAACUCGAAAUUUGUGAAAUGUUAUAGUUUUCUUUUACAAUCCAUAUAAAUUAUAAAUGGCUUAUGAAAAUCAAAUUUUUUUGCAUUCAUUUAUAUGAUUGCUAUUGGUUACAGAAACAAAAGUGACUUUAACAGAAUAUAUAUAUACAAAGUAAUGUAUGUAAAAAUCAAAUUUUGAAAAAAGAGAAAAAUUAAUUAAUUAGUAACAAAAAUGUAGAUGAGUGCCGAGUGGAGUUGAGUGGCACAGGUUAGGUACACAGAAAAACAUUGAUCCAAAACUCCGUUCAUCUAACCUUUACCCACCUCUUUUAUUGGCUUCGGGGCAGCCACGACACCCGUCGUCGUCGUUGUCGUCGUCGUCGUCGUCAAGGCAAGGUCGACGACAACAUGUUGGCAGACGCGCCGCCGCCGCGACAGAGUUUUAAUACGUAAUAUUCAUAUCUAUGUUGUGUGCAGGUACAAGUAGUAAAACGUAUGUUAACCUCGUGUUUUAAGAAGUAUACAGAUCCCAAUGUUUGUAUGCUACGUAGUACGUAUACCGUGCGAAAUGAAUAAAGACAAUAAAUUCUCCCGUGGCAGCUUCUUAUGGUACACACAUUUAUUUUGUACAAACGAAAACUCAACGAAUCGAUACCAACCAUUAACCAACGAGAUUGCCAACCAGACUGAUCCAGUCAUUGUGUGAUUCUCAAAGAUGAUCAUAUUAUUAUAUGAAACCGGUAUAUAUCUGGUCUAUAGUACUUCACCUUGUCGUUAAGUUUAUGAUUCUGGUUUUUUUUAUAUAUACAUGUAUAUUUAAAUAAUUUAAAUAUUUCAAAAUUAAUUCCCUUUGUAUAUAAAAAAAAAUUAUGGCGAUAUCUUUUGAAGAAUUAUUGUGAAAUGAUUUUGUAAGAAAAUCAA